UCGAGGUUCAUCCUGAAAAAAAAAACAAAAACAAAAAAACAAAAAAAAAAACAAAAAACAAAAAACAAAAAAAAGAACAAUAAGAGAAACGCCUGAACCGAGAACAUAAAGGAGAGGUUCGUGGUUUCAUAGAUAGAUUGAACUACCUGUCAUGGUUCACAUCUUAUCUAACAGCCACGUGGGAACCCAUUCAAGGAAAAAAGAUCAAACGGUCAGGUGAACCAAUGAUUGCCAAGGGGCAUUGAAAAAUAAAAGAAUAAGUUGCAGGAACCUCCGAUUCG
rnacentral:lncRNA from 1 species